GUGUGGACGUCAAAGAUUCAAUUCUCUUUCCCGAUGCAUCGUCAUUUUAAUUUUAUCACAACCUACACCAUAUCCGUCCUUAAAACACAAACCUGCUUUCACUUUACUUUUUUGAACCAACCAUAAUCGUCUCAACCAGAUCCGAUGACCGGAACCAAGCCACCUUCGCUCCAUCAAAUCUGCUAAUUUUCUAUCGAAAUGGCCUUUGUACCCGGCGGUAACGGUAAAACCGUCGCUGAACCAACAGUUAUCUAAGCACAGACCAAUCGACGCCUCUGGAUCGUCUUUUCUCACCAUUGCCACACAGUCGAUGUCUCUUCUAUGCCGCUUAGCGGCUGAACCCUACCCAUCUUCUAUGUUCGGUGGUGGCGGUUAUAUGGUGAUGGUUUUCCACCAGCAACCCGGUGAAAUCAAAAGUAAAAAAUAACAAAUACCAUGCGGGCACUGAUAGAAAGCCCGUGGCCCAAUCGGAGGACAGCCCCUGCGUAAACCAACCUCAUAUUGCCACACGGUGGCGCAAGUUAGCAAUGGACACUGUAUAUAAGACCCUACGCAAAUUGUUAAUAUACUAGUUAAAACACCUGCGCGUUGCGCAGAUAUAUUAUCGGUAUGGGUUCGAUUCAUUACGGUAUCAACAUCCGGUAUAUAGUGGCGAAUUAAAGAAUUAUUUGCUCAGGGUGCGGAUGAGGGGUUUAAACAAUAUUUUUACGGGGUGCGGUGGGGUUUUUUACCUAAAAUUUACAAAUUUUUUUCAAGGGGUGCGCCCCUAUCAGUAAUAAAACUCAAUAAAUAAAGUAAUAUUACGUGUUUUAUAUUGAUCGAAAACCGUAAAAAUGAAUACCAAUAAUGAUUCCAAUAAUAAUGAUACCUGUACUGUGGUUGUCCGGUUAAAAGCGACGUAAAACCAAUAUUGUUAGGAUAGUUGACGUUCGCGCCCGUCAUAAAGGAAAUUUUGUAAAUUUUAAAUGAAGAGUUAAAUGCUUGGUUGGUCCUUGUGGUUUGCAAAAAUUUCAUACUUGGUCCUAGUGGUUUACUAAUUACUACGCGUGGUCCCAAAAGUUGUCAAAAAUGAACUCGGUUGGUCCCCUGACGUAACCUCUGUUAAAUUUCUCAGUUAACUAGGUGUAAAAUGACUAUAUUAC
rnacentral:lncRNA from 1 species